UGGCUCAGGACGAACGCUGGCGGCGUGCCUAAUACAUGCAAGUCGAGCGGACAGAUGGGAGCUUGCUCCCUGAUGUUAGCGGCGGACGGGUGAGUAACACGUGGGUAACCUGCCUGUAAGACUGGGAUAACUCCGGGAAACCGGGGCUAAUACCGGAUGCUUGUUUGAACCGCAUGGUUCAAACAUAAAAGGUGGCUUCGGCUACCACUUACAGAUGGACCCGCGGCGCAUUAGCUAGUUGGUGAGGUAACGGCUCACCAAGGCAACGAUGCGUAGCCGACCUGAGAGGGUGAUCGGCCACACUGGGACUGAGACACGGCCCAGACUCCUACGGGAGGCAGCAGUAGGGAAUCUUCCGCAAUGGACGAAAGUCUGACGGAGCAACGCCGCGUGAGUGAUGAAGGUUUUCGGAUCGUAAAGCUCUGUUGUUAGGGAAGAACAAGUACCGUUCGAAUAGGGCGGUA
rnacentral:rRNA from 1 species